rnacentral:rRNA from 1 species
CUCAAAUUUGAAAUCUGGCGUAAGCCCGAGUUGUAAUUUGUAGAGGAUGCUUCUGGGUAGCGGCCGGUCUAAGUUCCUUGGAACAGGACGUCAUAGAGGGUGAGAAUCCCGUAUGUGACUGGCUUGCACCCUCCACGUAGCUCCUUCGACGAGUCGAGUUGUUUGGGAAUGCAGCUCUAAAUGGGAGGUAAAUUUCUUCUAAAGCUAAAUACCGGCCAGAGACCGAUAGCGCACAAGUAGAGUGAUCGAAAGAUGAAAAGCACUUUGGAAAGAGAGUUAAAAAGCACGUGAAAUUGUUGAAAGGGAAGCGCCCGCAACCAGACUUUGCGGCGGUGUUCGGCUGGUCUUCUGACCGGUUUACUCGCCGCCGUGAGGCCAUCAUCGUCUGGGACCGCUGGAUAAGACCUGAGGAAUGUAGCUCCCUUCGGGGUGUGUUAUAGCCUCUGGUGAUGCAGCGCGUCUCGGGCGAGGUCCGCGCUUCGGCAAGGAUGAUGGCGUAAUGGUUGUCGGCGGCCCGUCUUGAAAACACGGACCAAGGAGUCUAAACAUCUAUGCGGAGUGUUUCGGGUGUCAAACCCCUACCGU